rnacentral:rRNA from 1 species
CCUACGGGAGGCAGCAGUGGGGAAUAUUGCACAAUGGGGGAAACCCUGAUGCAGCGACGCCGCGUGAGUGAAGAAGUAUUUCGGUAUGUAAAGCUCUAUCAGCAGGGAAGAAAAUGACGUUACCUGAUUAAGAAGCCCCGGCUAACUACGUGCCAGCAGCCGCGGUCAUACGUAGGGGGCAAGCGUUAUCCGGAUUUGCUGGGUGUAAAGGGAGCGUAGACGGCAGCACAAGUCUGGAGUGAAAUGCCGGGGCUUAACCCCGGAACUGCUUUGGAAACUGGGCAGCUAGAGUGCAGGAGAGGUAAGUGGAAUUCCUAGUGUAGCGGUGAAAUGCGUAGAUAUUAGGAGGAACACCAGUGGCGAAGGCGGCUUACUGGACUGUAACUGACGUUGAGGCUCGAAAGCGUGGGGAGCAAACAGGAUUAGAUACCCGAGUAGUC